UUUGUCUUACUAAUCCAAAAUAUUUUGACUGCCUCAGAAUUAAAUGCUUCAAUAGCAUUUUGAUUUUUUGUUUUCACCAAAAGCUUCAACAAAAUGAACCUUUUCCUGACAGCCCCUCCUGCUGAGUAGGCAUUCUGUCCAGGGAAACUCUUCUGUCAUGGUGAUUCUGCUCAGCAUUAAAUUUCAGGUCAGAUGUCUUCCUGCUUGCUCCUAAAACAACUAUACUAAGUCCAGGUCAAAGACCUCUUCCUUUUGAUGCUUAAAAUGCCUUUGGAUACAGGAUGACUCUUGACCUACAGCUCCAGGGUGGGAGGAAGAAAUGAAAAUGAAAGAAUAAGAAAUUAUUUUGUCAAUACUUCAUCUGGAAUUUUGGACUAAGAGUAGUCUCACUGGAAAAUCAGUGACCUGUGGGUCAAUAUCCGUGAUUUUGGAGGUGCUCCCACCAAAUCAUCAGCUACCUUGACUGCAAUGUCUUAAUUGUUAUUGGCUCUCGAGGUUUGUAAUGAACAGUGGCACCCUUCAGCUGGAGGUGACUGGUAUUGAGCCUGCCUUGGGCUGGGAAUAACUUGAGAGACUCCACGCAGUCUUUACCCUCUGAUAGCUCCUGGGUGACGUCUCAGGGCUUGCAUGAGCAUCCCAGCCUUUUCUGCUUCUCACAUCCCCACCAGCGAGGAGGCUGUGGGUGCACAAGUAGCUGGGAGGAGACAGCUGGGACAGCUGACCCCCAAGUCACUAAAGGGAUGUCCUACACCAUGUGACAUCAUGCUCAGUAUAUAAAGAAGUGGGAAAAAGACAAAGGUGGGCAGAAGUUUGUCUUCCCAAGUAACCAUGAUGUGCCAUGGAGCCCUGCUGUCCUGGGGUGGCCUGCUGGUGGGAAAUAGGGAUUGAAUUCCUUACUUUGCUUUGCUUUGCCUAUUCAACCAUCUUUAUCUCAACCUAUGAGUUUUCUCACUUUUGUCCUUCAGAUUCUCUCCCUGAUCCAUUGUGGUGAUGUUGUAUUUAACAGGCUUGGUGGAUUGCCUUUGAAAUAUCAUGUACCAGAAAUGACACAGAGGCAAAUAGACUCAUAAGACUCAGAUGGUAUAAGGCUCCUUCUCUUUCCAUGACCAGACCAUUUGGGAAUUUUCUUUCUGCUUUUCCAUCGUUUGCAUCAAAUGAAGUUGAGUUCUUGACCACCAGAUUGUACUGAUAUAUAUUGUUAACAAUUCAGAAGAUGCCGAAAAUUCUUCAAGGUCUUCACUAAGAUUUCCAAAAAAGCAGAAAGGAUUGUUCAGCUUAUUUUAUUAUAAAAAUUAAAGAACCUUAA